GCUCGUCAAGCAGCUGAACUUUUGCCACAGAAAGCCCGCGGAUGCUCCUCGCUGGCCGGUUACCCCUGCAGAGCCCGUGUCAGCCGCAGGGCAGGGGCGAGCCCCACAGCCCCCCCGGGAGCUCAAUGCCUACGGACGGGGCAGCGCGGAUGGAUGGAGCCCACACCGGCGGUCCCGGGACCGCCCCGGUGCACACGGCUCCAGCCGGGACCAGCACAGGGAAGGGGGUGAGGCCGGGUCCGGCGCCGGCUGAAGGGCCCCGCCACCCGUGCUGCUGGCCGCGGCCCCCGCCAUUCAUUGCCCCCAGCAUCCCGCUCCACUCCCACCGCCCAGGGAACUGUGGACGAGGCAGGCGGGUAAUAGUCUGGAAGAAAGAGGAUCUGGAGCCUCUGGGAUGCAUCCUGGAUACUCUCGUAAGGGAAAACUUUCACCAGAGAAGAGCGACUGGCCUUCAGCAAUCUUGAAGAGCAUAAUUUGUCUUUGGCUUUUGAAAUAGUUAUUAUACUGGAACUAUUGCACCAGCUAAGGCCAUAACUGAGGUUUUGAUGAGGCUGUACUGUCUGGAUGAGGUUUUAUAUCCAGGGCCUGAGGACAGGCAGGACUUCCAAGAAGGAGGUUGCUGACAAGCCUGACUGGUCCUUUAGAAGUAGAAUUUGAGGCAUUUAAAAAAAGAAAAAUGAGUCUGCAUCCUGAUAAUUCUCAGAGUGAAGGCCUGGCUCUCUGCUCUUAACCAAAUGAAGUUUUCUGGAUGUGGGCUUGAAUCCCUUUGACUGAAUCGUGGGAGUCAGACAUUGCCACUGCAAAUGUAGCCAUUGUUGUCUCAAUAAACAUAUUUUGCCUUGUC